AGCCAUCCUUUAAAGAAAGCGUAACAGCUCACUGGUCUAAAUAAGGGUUCUUGCGCCGAAAAUGUAACGGGGCUAAAGCCAUGCACCGAAACUGAGGGCACUAUUUAUAGUGCGGUAGCAGAGCGUUCUGUAAGCCUGCGAAGGGAUACUCGUGAGAGAUCCUGGAGGUAUCAGAAGUGCAAAUGUUGACAUGAGUAACGAUAAAGAGGGUGAGAGACCCUCUCGCCGAAAGACCAAGGGUUCCUGCGCAACGCUAAUCGGCGCAGGGUGAGUCGGCCCCUAAGGCGAGGCUGAGAAGCGUAGUCGAUGGGAAACAGGUUAAUAUUCCUGUACUUCUUUAUAUUGCGAUGGGGAGACGGAGAAAGCUAGGCCAGCAUGGCGAUGGUAGUCCAUGUUUAAGGUUGUAGGCUGAGAGUUUAGGUAAAUCCGGACUCUUAAGGCUGAGAACUGAUGACGAGAUCCUACGGGAUUGAAGUGGUUGAUGCUCUGCUUCCAGGAAAAACCUCUAAGCUUCAGAUAUAAAGAAACCGUACCCCAAACCGACACAGGUGGUCAG
rnacentral:rRNA from 1 species